UACGUAGGGAGCAAGCGUUGUCCGGAAUUAUUGGGCGUAAAGGGCGCGUAGGCGGCCAUGCGUGUCUUCCGUGAAAUCCCUCGGCUUAACUGAGGACGUGCGGAAGAAACUGCAAGGCUCGAGUCCGGGAGAGGGGGGUGGAAUUCCCAGUGUAGCGGUGAAAUGCGUAGAUAUUGGGAGGAACACCGGUGGCGAAGGCGGCCCCCUGGACCGGUACUGACGCUGAGGCGCGAAAGCGUGGGUAGCAAACGGG
rnacentral:rRNA from 1 species